UAGUGUUAUUCAAAUUUCAAG
rnacentral:piRNA from 1 species